rnacentral:sRNA from 1 species
UCCGAAGUGGCAGCAGCCAGAGAGGGAGUCGGUGUGGACGCGAGAAGCCGGGCACUUAGAACAGAGGCUCGCACAGGUGGAGAUGUGGAAGUCUGUAGUGGGCCAUGAUGUGUCUGUUUCCGUGGAGACCCAGGGUGAUGAUUGGGACACAGAUCCUGACUUUGUGAAUGACAUCUCUGAAAAGGAGCAACGAUGGGGAGCCAAGACCAUCGAGGGCUCUGGACGCACAGAACACAUCAACAUCCACCAGCUGAGGAACAAAGUUUCAGCGGAGCAUGAUGUUCUCAAGAAGAAAGAGAUGGAGUCAGGGCCCAAAGCAUCCCAUGGCUAUGGAGGACGGUUUGGAGUAGAAAGAGACCGAAUGGACAAGAGUGCAGUGGGCCAUGAGUAUGUUGCCGAGGUGGAGAAGCACUCUUCUCAGACGGAUGCUGCCAAAGGCUUUGGGGGCAAGUACGGAGUUGAGAGGGACAGGACAGACAAGGUAAGUGACCACUCUGUCUCUCAACCACUCACCUCCAGUCAUGUGAAGUUGCCCACACUCACUCCUGGAUGGAGGCACAUGCUUCUUUGUUGAAAGACAGGACAGUGGAUGCUGUGAGGACCUGACACCAUCACAAAGAUACCUCCCUCAGCAAGUUCCUUGGUGCCAGUGUUGGAAGCCACAUGCUGAGCUGAAAGACAGUGAUUCAAAUAAGGAGAAGACUUUCAAACUGUGUGUUUGAAUGAAUAAUUCCUCAAGCCACUGGUUUUUAUUAUACUCAUAUGCAUGAAGAUAGAACAGAGAAUCGUCUAAGCUCUUCUUUUGGCUUAACAUCAGAACCUUAUAAAUACUCAUGCCGUUUAGGAAAACAGAGUCAUCAGUUUAAAUAUUAUUGCCAUGGAAGCAGAUAAUCCAGUUAAACAACUAAUUAGGGUUACUAUUUACAGAAUUUAGCGUCAAUCUAUGAAGUCCAGAUAUCUUUAAAGACUCCUUUGUACAAAACAAAACAAAAUGUUGUUUUAAAGAGAAAAAAAAGUACCGUAUGAUUACAAUAUCAUAUUGUUGACAGGAGAGUAAGAUUGAUAACUC